GACGAACGCUGGCGGCGUGCUUAACACAUGCAAGUCGAACGAUGAAACCGGAGCUUGCUCCGGUGGAUUAGUGGCGAACGGGUGAGUAACACGUGAGUAACCUGCCCUUGACUCUGGGAUAACUGCGGGAAACUGUAGCUAAUACCGGAUACGACCCUCGGAGGCAUCUCCUGGGGGUGGAAAGAAUUUCGGUCAAGGAUGGACUCGCGGCCUAUCAGCUAGUUGGGGAGGUAACGGCUCACCAAGGCGACGACGGGUAGCCGGCCUGAGAGGGUGACCGGCCACACUGGGACUGAGACACGGCCCAGACUCCUACGGGAGGCAGCAGUGGGGAAUAUUGCACAAUGGGCGCAAGCCUGACGCAGCAACGCCGCGUGAGGGAUGACGGCCUUCGGGUUGUAAACCUCUUUUAGCAGGGAAGAAGCGAAAGUGACGGUACCUGCAGAAAAAGCACCGGCUAACUACGUGCCAGCCGCCGCCGUAA
rnacentral:rRNA from 1 species